GCACCCAGGCCCAAAGUUCAAGACCGACAAUGGACAAAAAAAACAAAAUAUAAUUAACAAUGGCAUAGGGCAGCAGGAUGAGAUGAUUAAAUGAAUGUUACAUUCAGUUUAAGCAGAACUAAGAAUUAGUAGAACAAGAAAAUAGCCCAUGUAUUGUGUAGACCAAGAAGCUGGGCUGAUAUCUG